GCAACAGUAGCUCAGCGUCAGAGCGCCGGUCUUGUAAGCCGGCCGCCGGAGGUUAAAACCCUCCCUGCUGCU
rnacentral:tRNA from 1 species